GGAUCGAUGGGAGCUUGCUCCCUGAGAACAGCGGCGGACGGGUGAGUAACACGUGGGUAACCUGCCUGUAAGACUGGGAUAACUCCGGGAAACCGGGGCUAAUACCGGAUAACACCUACCCCCGCAUGGGGGAAGGUUGAAAGGUGGCUUCGGCUAUCACUUACAGAUGGACCCGCGGCGCAUUAGCUAGUUGGUGAGGUAACGGCUCACCAAGGCGACGAUGCGUAGCCGACCUGAGAGGGUGAUCGGCCACACUGGGACUGAGACACGGCCCAGACUCCUACGGGAGGCAGCAGUAGGGAAUCUUCCGCAAUGGACGAAAGUCUGACGGAGCAACGCCGCGUGAGUGAAGAAGGUUUUCGGAUCGUAAAACUCUGUUGUUAGGGAAGAACAAGUGCCGUUCGAAUAGGGCGGCACCUUGACGGUACCUAACCAGAAAGCCACGGCUAACUACGUGCCAGCAGCCGCGGUAAUACGUAGGUGGCAAGCGUUGUCCGGAAUUAUUGGGCGUAAAGCGCGCGCAGGUGGUUUCUUAAGUCUGAUGUGAAAGCCCACGGCUCAACCGUGGAGGGUCAUUGGAAACUGGGGAACUUGAGUGCAGAAGAGGAAAGUGGAAUUCCAAGUGUAGCGGUGAAAUGCGUAGAUAUUUGGAGGAACACCAGUGGCGAAGGCGACUUUCUGGUCUGUAAC
rnacentral:rRNA from 1 species